UGGCUCAGGACGAACGCUGGCGGCGUGCCUAAUACGUGCAAGUUGAACGGUCUUUCUAUGGAAGCUUGCUUCCACUGAGAAGAUAGUGGCGAACGGGUGAGUAACACGUGGGUAACCUGCCCAUAAGAGGGGGGAUAACAUCCGGAAACGGGUGCUAAUACCGCAUAGUUUUCUUGAUUGCAUGAUUGAGAAAGGAAAGACGGCCUUUGUGCUGUCGCUUAUGGAUGGACCCGCGGCGUAUUAGUUAGUUGGUGAGGUAACGGCUCACCAAGACGAUGAUACGUAGCCGACCUGAGAGGGUGAUCGGCCACAUUGGGACUGAGACACGGCCCAAACUCCUACGGGAGGCAGCAGUAGGGAAUCUUCCGCAAUGGACGAAAGUCUGACGGAGCAACGCCGCGUGAGUGAAGAAAGGUUUUCGGAUCGUAAAACUCUGUUGUCAGAGAAGAACAAGUUGGAGAGUAACUGCUCCAGCCUUGACGGUAUCUGACCAGAAAGCCACGGCUAACUACGUGCCAGCAGCGGC
rnacentral:rRNA from 1 species